rnacentral:rRNA from 1 species
UACGGUGGGAGCAAGCGUUGUUCGGAUUUACUGGGCGUAAAGGGCGCGUAGGCGGCCACCGCAAGUCAAUUGUGAAAUCUCCGGGCUUAACUCGGAAAGGUCAACUGAUACUGCGGGGCUAGAGUGCGGAAGGGGCAACUGGAAUUCUCGGUGUAGCGGUGAAAUGCGUAGAUAUCGAGAGGAACACCUGCGGCGAAGGCGGGUUGCUGGGCCGACACUGACGCUGAUGCGCGAAAGCCAGGGGAGCGAACGGG